UUAGCAUGAAUCUGGACAUUAGAUUUAAGCUUGAAGUUUUAACCUAAUCAAAUAUCACUUGGUAGAAGCUCCUUACCGUUUGAAGAAAUCUCUUCUCAAUCUGCUGUCCUCUUUUGCCUGCAUCUUGUAUUUUUUCCAUCUGAGACUGACGUUAUUCCAUCUUAAUUAUUUUUCUCCGUGAAAAACACAGCAGCUCAUCUCAUCCCGGGGCGCCAGCGCCUCGAGCUCCGGGUCUCAGCAGAAAAGUGCCGAUAAACGUUGCAGGCUGAUCCAGGUUCUAGUAUGUGACGUCACAGCUGGAACACUGUUACGCCUCUGCGUAACCAUGGUUACAGGGGACGCUUUGGAGCUCAGCAGCAAAAGAUUUCAGGUUAAACUCUAAAACCAAAUAAAAUCAAUAUACUGUACAUGUGUGUAGUGUACCGCGUUCAUUUUCUGGAAGAGGCUGUAAAACAGAGUUAAAAGGUGGCCGAUGGCAGCCGUACUGAGUCAGCUGGGGAGUAAACUGUGGCGGUUCUCAGAGGUAGCUCAUGUGAGCCAGCAGUGACAUCUGUACAUGCAGUAGCCUUAAAAUACUGAUUAUUUAUUCUCCUGCUAGCAGUGGAGGAGACUUUACUGCUGAGGAAGAGGCCCUGCUGUCCUGCCGUCCUACUGGUGCCAUUGAGGGAUCAGCGGCUGCUACAUGUUCUUCUCGACCUCGAGUGUUUGGACUGAAGGACUCACAGACACGUUUCAUAUUUAGCUCUAUAAAAGAUUUUAAAAAGAUUAUUUUUAAAAUAUUUUCCUGCCCAGCCAUUUUCUUAUUCACAAAGGCUGCAUGGAGACCUUUUGGUUGUUGCCACAGACGCUUUCUCUUACUACGGAUGGAGGAUGUUGCGGUUUUACAACCCAUGGACUGAGAAAGGACUCAUUAAGUAAUCUGUUCACAUAUUCCAGGGUUAAACACAAGUGAGUCUCAAUUUGAUAUUAAGUGAAGUGUUGGUAACUGAUGCCAAUAUCUCCCUGUUUAAAUCCCAUUCAUAUAAGGGACCCUGAUUUUAUCCUGCUACAAACAUAUUCAGCCAGUGUUAGUUAAGUUUCCUGUACACAUGUAAAGCAGAUGUGAGAGAGGCUGUGAUGAAGUCCUGGAGUUUUUAAGGACGUACGUGCUGCAGUCCAGAUAUUUGUAUGAUAUGUUGGACACAGGUGGUAAAGUGCUGUCACACCCUGAAUAAACUGUGCUCUGUUCUUUGGUAAGAUGACAUAUUUGUCACAUAAUCAUAUGGUUUAUCAGAGGGAAAGUUUUAGAAUACUGGAGUCCAAGGUUAGGUGCAAUAAUAUUCAACCGUAAUAUUAGUUUAUAACUAGGUCUUGUCAGUUAGCCAGUGUUGUGUCAAAAAGUCAUGUCUGCCAUAAACUAAUUCCCAGUAUUUGUCAAACACCAGUUGAUCAUAUUUAAACUGCUAUAGACAACUUUUUAUGUAUCCCUCAUGAGUGAUAUUGAGUCAUCUUGUGCCACAAACAACAUUCCUGUCACAAGGUAGAAGCUGCAACCAUGUUUUGGCAGUGACUUUUACUUCUUAUUCUUUCAUUUGACAUUAAAAUGACUUUUUUAAAGAGCAGAAACUGCAACUAAUAUAAUAAUAGUUCUCUAAACAUAUUUUAAGUGUCCCAAAAGGACUGGGUUGGUUUUAAUAUAACACAGAGUUAUAAAUAUACUUGAAAAAAUGGGUCGUUAUUAAGUUUGAUAUAUCCCCUUUUGUAAAUCAUGCUCACUGAAGUCUGUUUACCAACAUAAGUAAAGACACUGGAAAUCAGUUGUUGUCAGACGAUGACUUUUUGUCACAACACUGGAGGUGAAGCAGGUAUGAUCCUUCAUAUCUGGAGUGUGAAGGUGCAGACAUAAGUUCAGACAUCCCUGGAUGUUUAAGAGUUUACAAUUUCUCUGGUUCAUUGGCUUUAGUCAGUCAGUCAGUAAUUACUCAAGAUUAGUUCCCAAGUCCUCCUGAAUUCAAAGAAAUAUUC